rnacentral:rRNA from 2 species
UGAGAAUCCCGUAUGUGACUGGCCGCCAAACCCAUGUGAGAUCCUUUCGACGAGUCGAGUUGUUUGGGAAUGCAGCUCUAAAUGGGUGGUAAAUUUCAUCUAAAGCUAAAUAUUGGCCAGAGACCGAUAGCGCACAAGUAGAGUGAUCGAAAGAUGAAAAGCACUUUGGAAAGAGAGUUAAAAAGUAUGUGAAAUUGUUAAAAGGGAAGCGCUUGUAACCAGACUUGUUUGCAGUUGAUCAACCUUCCUUCGGGCUGGUGCACUCUUCUGUAUGCAGGCCAGCAUCAGUUUAGACGGUUGGAUAAAGACUUCAGGAACGUAGCUCUCUUCGGGGAGUGUUAUAGCCUGGGGUGUAAUACAGCCUGCCUGGACUGAGGACCGCGCUUUUGCUAGGAUGCUGGCGUAAUGGUUGCCAGCGACCCGUCUUGAAACACGGACCAAGGAGUCAACCAAUUGUGCGAGUGUUUGGGUGUUAAAACCCAUACGCGUAAUGAAAGUGAACGGAGGUAGGAGCCCUUACGGGUGCACUAUCGACCGAUCCUGAUGUUUUCGGAUGGAUUUGAGUAUGAGCAUCAUUGGGCUGGACCCGAAAGA